rnacentral:rRNA from 1 species
UACGAAGGGGGCUAGCGUUGUUCGGAAUUACUGGGCGUAAAGCGCGCGCAGGCGGUCUUCCAAGUCAGUGGUGAAAGCCCGGAGCUCAACUCCGGAACUGCCAUUGAAACUGUUGGACUUGAGGAUGAGAGAGGUGAGUGGAAUUCCCAGUGUAGAGGUGAAAUUCGUAGAUAUCGGGAGGAACACCAGUGGCGAAGGCGGUUGCCUGGAGCUUUGCUGACGCUGAUGCGCGAAAGCGUGGGGAGCGAACAGG